rnacentral:rRNA from 1 species
AUUGAACGCUAGCGGGAGGCUUUACACAUGCAAGUCGAACGAGUGGCGGACGGGUGAGUAACAUAUCGGAACGUGCCCAGUAGCGGGGGAUAACUACUCGAAAGAGUGGCUAAUACCGCAUACCAUCGGAGCGGCCGAUAUCGGAUUAGCUAGUUUGUGGGGUAAAGGCUCACAAAGGCAACGAUCCGUAGCUGGUUUGAGAGGACGACCAGCCACACUGGGUCUGAGACACGGCCCGUACUCCUACGGGAGGCAGCAGUGGGGAAUUUUGGACAAUGGGGGAAACCCUGCUCCAGCCAUCCCGCGUGUAUGAGAAGGCCUUCGGGUUGUAAAGUACUUUUGGCAGAGAAGCGGUAUCUGCAGAAUAAGCACCGGCUAACUACGUGCCAGCAGCCGCGGUAAUAC